GACGAACGCUGGCGGCGUGCUUAACGCAUGCAAGUCGAACGGAAAGGCCCUGCUUUUGUGGGGUGCUCGAGUGGCGAACGGGUGAGUAACACGUGAGUAACCUGCCCUUGACUCUGGGAUAACUUCAGGAAACUGGGGCUAAUACCGGAUAGGAGCUCCUGCUGCAUGGUGGGGGUUGGAAAGUUUCGGCGGUUGGGGAUGGUAUCGCGGCUUAUCAGCUUGUUGGUGGGGUAGUGGCUUACCAAGGCUUUGACGGGUAGCCGGCCUGGGAGGGUGACCGGCCACAUUGGGACUGGGAUGCGGCCCAGACUCCUACGGGCGGAAGCGGUGGGGAAUAGUGCACGAUGGGCGGAGGCCUGAUGCAGCAACGCCGCGUGGGGGAUGACGGCCUUCGGGUUGUAAACCGCUUUCGCCUGUGACGAAGCGUGAGUGACGGUAAUGGGUAAAGAAGCCCCGGCUAACUACGUG
rnacentral:rRNA from 1 species